rnacentral:rRNA from 1 species
UGCGUAGGCGGUUUAAUAAGUCAGAGGUGAAAGGCCGGCGCUUAACGUCGGGACUGCCUUUGAUACUGUUAGACUUGAAUUAGGUUGAGGUUGGCGGAAUGUGACAUGUAGCGGUGAAAUGCAUAGAUAUGUCAUAGAACACCGAUUGCGAAGGCAGCUGACUGGACCUAUAUUGACGCUGAGGCACGAAAGCGUGGGGAGCGAACAGGAUUAGAUACCCUGGUAGUCC